GGGGUUGUGGCUCAGUAGUGGAGCACUUGCCUUGCACGUGUGAGACCCUAGGUUCGAUCCUCAACACCA
rnacentral:tRNA from 1 species